rnacentral:rRNA from 1 species
UUUAAAAUUAUUUAAGACGUGAUAUAGAUUAUAUCGUCCUUGUAUUGUGAAAAAUAAAUUACUAAAUUCUUGAAAAGGGUCAAUAAUAGGUUUUAAGAAUUAGUUAACUAGAGUUCUUUUUGUAUCAUGAUUUAUAAAGAGAUAAAAAUAAUUUUUUUUCCCGAAAAUUUUAGAGCUACUUAUUUAGGUAAAAGUGUUACAAGACUUUUAUUUUAAAAUAGGUAGUGAUGACAUGUCAUUCGAAAAAGUUGAUAGCUGGUUGAAGGGAAAAUAUAUUUUAGUAUAGAGGUAAGUAAAAAAUUAUUUGGCUACAUGGGUCUGUAGUUAUAGGUUCCAUUCAGUUCACUGUAGUGUGUGAGUUAUUUUUUUUUAAUUAAUUAGGGGUGUAGUGUGGUAGUAGUGUUGAGGGGUUAUAAAUAAGUUGUAGUGUAGAUUGAAAGUAUCAGAGUGGUUAAGACCGUCUUAGUAGUAUCAUAUGCUUAAUACUAGUUAGGGUAUGUGAAUAUGAAAAGAUUAUGAGGGGAGUAGUUUGUUUUUGCUUACUGUUUAGAUUUCCUGGGAUAAGCUAGGAAAUAAAAGUUAGUUUUUAGUGAUAAAAUAGGGUUUAAAAUACUCAGUUUAUAGUAGUUUAGUAAUAAUAAAAUCACUAAGUAAAGUUGAUUUAGUACCCUUUAGCAGUUAUUAAUAUUAUAACUGAUUAUAAGUAUAAGAUCAGUAGUCAAUAAAUAAAUUACUAUAAACGAUGUAUGCUUAUAAGCCUCUACUAUAAGUGUUAAUUAAAGUAAGAGAUUGUGUUUAAGUGAAAUGUGAAUUUAAACAGUUUAUAUUAGAAAAAUAAAAUAUUAUAUAAAGGAACUUGACAAAUUUUUCCUGCGCCUGUUUAAUAAAAACAUGGUUUUUCGAUCAAAAGAAUGAAAAAUCUGACCUGCCCAGUGAAGUUUUGUUAAACGGCUGCGACGAGAGUCGUACUAAGGUAGCGCGAUAAUUUGUCUUUUAAUUGGAGAAUGGUAUGAAGGGUUUGACGCAGGAUUAUUGUCUCUAUAUAGGAAGAUUAAGUUUCCUUUUGAAUGAAAAGGUUUAGAUAUAUUAAAAGACGAGAAGACCCUGUCGAGCUUAAUUAAGUAAAAUAUUAGAAUGAGGUUAAGUGAAAAGUGUUAAUAGCUUAACUACUGGCUGAAUGUUUUAUGGAAGUUUAAUUGGGGAAAGUUAAGAUUAAAGUAAUAGUCUAAAUUUAGUGUUAAGAUCCUUUUUGAGAGAAAAUAGCAAAAGCUACCGCAGGGAUAACAGCGCAAUUUUCUUUGAGAGAUCUUAUUGAGGAGAAAGUUUACGACCUCGAUGUUGGAUUAGGAAAACUUUUUGGUGUGGCAGCUAAAAAAUGUGGGACUGUUCGUCCCUUAAGUUCCUACAUGAUCUGAGUUAAGACCGGUGUGAGCUAGGUCGGCUUCUAUCUUUAUUUUUAAUACUUAUUGUACGAAAGGAUCCAGGUAUUAGGUUUUACUUUUAGUGUUAGCUAAUAAAAUUGGUUUUGCCACAGUUUGCUCCGUUAUAUUUUUCUAUUAUUUUUUUAUUUAUUUGGUUGAGUUUUAUUUCUAAGGUUUGCGUGUUGUGAUGAAGCUGUAAGCGGUCGUAUAAUUUUUAAAAAAAAUGAGUUGUAUUCUAAUGCUUGAAGUUUCUUCUAUUUUGGUAAGACUAUAUGGUAAAGAUGUUGGUUGGUUGGCU